GACGAACGCUGGCGGCGUGCCUAAUACAUGCAAGUUGAGCGCCGAAGGUUGGUACUUGUACCAACUGGAUGAGCAGCGAACGGGUGAGUAACGCGUGGGGAAUCUGCCUUUGAGCGGGGGACAACAUUUGGAAACGAAUGCUAAUACCGCAUAAAAACUUUAAACACAAGUUUUAAGUUUGAAGGAUGCAAUUGCAUCACUCAAAGAUGAUCCCGCGUUGUAUUAGCUAGUUGGUGAGGUAAAGGCUCACCAAGGCGAUGAUACAUAGCCGACCUGAGAGGGUGAUCGGCCACAUUGGGACUGAGACACGGCCCAAACUCCUACGGGAGGCAGCAGUAGGGAAUCUUCGGCAAUGGACGAAAGUCUGACCGAGCAACGCCGCGUGAGUGAAGAAGGUUUUCGGAUCGUAAAACUCUGUUGGUAGAGAAGAACGUUGGUGAGAGUGGAAAGCUCAUCAAGUGACGGUAACUACCCAGAAAGGGACGGCUAACUACGUG
rnacentral:rRNA from 1 species